AUCAUGGCUCAGGAUGAACGCUGGCGGCGUGCCUAAUACACGCAAGUCGAACGCACAGCGAAAGGUGCUUGCACCUUUCAAGUGAGUGGCGAACGGGUGAGUAACACGUGGAUAACCUACCUCAAGGUUGGGGAUAACAUUUGGAAACAGAUGCUAAUACCGAUAAAACUUCGUAUCGCAUGAUACAAGGUUAAAAGGCGCUACGGCGUCACCUAGAGAUGGAUCCGCGGUGCAUUAGUUAGUUGGUGGGGUAAAGGCCUACCAAGACAAUGAUGCAUAGCCGAGUUGAGAGACUGAUCGGCCACAUUGGGACUGAGACACGGCCCAAACUCCUACGGGAGGCUGCAGUAGGGAAUCUUCCACAAUGGGCGAAAGCCUGAUGGAGCAACGCCGCGUGUGUGAUGAAGGCUUUCGGGUCGUAAAGCACUGUUGUAUGGGAAGAACAGCUAGAGUAGGGAAUGACUUUAGUUUGACGGUACCAUACCAGAAAGGGACGGCUAAAUACGUG
rnacentral:rRNA from 1 species